AGAUUGAACGCUGGCGGCAGGCCUAACACAUGCAAGUCGAGCGGCAGCACGGGUACUUGUACCUGGUGGCGAGCGGCGGACGGGUGAGUAAUGCCUAGGAAUCUGCCUGGUAGUGGGGGAUAACGCUCGGAAACGGACGCUAAUACCGCAUACGUCCUACGGGAGAAAGCAGGGGACCUUCGGGCCUUGCGCUAUCAGAUGAGCCUAGGUCGGAUUAGCUAGUUGGUGAGGUAAUGGCUCACCAAGGCGACGAUCCGUAACUGGUCUGAGAGGAUGAUCAGUCACACUGGAACUGAGACACGGUCCAGACUCCUACGGGAGGCAGCAGUGGGGAAUAUUGGACAA
rnacentral:rRNA from 1 species